rnacentral:lncRNA from 1 species
UAAUUUGUAGUCCAAAGUUUCCUAUGGCCCAUAUGAAAAGUAAGUUGGGAAGAGUUAUCUCCUUCCUGGGGGUGAGUAGAAAUAUCGUGUGUGUGUGUAUGUGUGUGUGUGUGUGUGUGUUGUGUGUGUGUGUGUGUGUGUGUGUGAUAGAGAGAGGAAGAGGGAGGGAGAGAGAGAGAGAGAGAAGUGCAAAUGAGCAUGUGUGUUCCAGAGUGAGUGUGUAUUCAUUAAAAAAAAAAAGAAAAGAAAAGAAAAGGUAGAAACCCCUGGUCAGCUAACAUUCAGGAGAAAAGGAAAAUAAAAAGAAAAAAAAAGCUAACAACCCUGCCUAUCUCCAAAUUUGAGCCCCUCCCCUCAGCAUGUGAGCUGUAAAGAGAAUGACACAUGUGCUGUUUCCUUUCCCAGUUGUCGAAGGGUCAGGAACCAGACAAGAACAAGAGGAGACUUCUCCAGGAGACUCCUGCCUUUUUCUGAUCCUUCCAGCUGUUCUGCUCAAUCUCCCCAGCCCUCCCUGAGCCAGCCGAGACCAGUGGCCCAGGGCGCUCUGGAGUCUGUCAGUUAUGAGUGACCCAAACAGUACAACAGUGGAUGACGGUUCUCAGCCAUGUUUCAUGCUUGGUUGACAGCAGCUCCAUGGCAGUUGGGUAUGGCUCCAGCUCAGCAGCAGGAGACACCAGUCCAGGGAAUGACAUCACCAUCAUUGCAGGUGAGCAAGCUCUCUGAGAACAGAAACUUUAACCUUGCUUUCGGAAUCCCUUCCCCAUAUCUACCUCCUAGACAGGACAAAAUUCCAGUUUUGGCUUUGGUAUUCCCUGUCCCAUUUACCCAUUCCACUUUUGAAAUUCUUCCCGUUACCCUUUCUGUGGGCCCUCUAAAUGAAUCUAGCUCCAGGGUUUCUGGACUUCCAGGAACUAUAGUCACUUUUAUCACCUUAUACCUUAGGCCAUGGGUAGAGAACCUGCAGCCUCGAGGCCACAUAUGGCCUUCUAGGUGCUUGGGUACAGCCUUUUGA